rnacentral:rRNA from 1 species
UACGAAGGGGGCUAGCGUUGUUCGGAAUUACUGGGCGUAAAGCGCGUGUAGGCGGGUCUUUAAGUCAGGGGUGAAAUGCCAAGGCUCAACCUUGGAACUGCCUUUGAUACUGGAGACCUUGAGUCCGGGAGAGGUGAGUGGAAUUGCGAGUGUAGAGGUGAAAUUCGUAGAUAUUCGCAAGAACACCAGUGGCGAAGGCGGCUCACUGGCCCGGAACUGACGCUGAGAUGCGAAAGCGUGGGGAGCAAACAGG